rnacentral:rRNA from 1 species
CCUACGGGGGGCAGCAGUGAGGAAUAUUGGUCAAUGGACGAGAGUCUGAACCAGCCAAGUAGCGUGAAGGAUGACUGCCCUAUGGGUUGUAAACUUCUUUUAUAUGGGAAUAAAACGUUCCACGUGUGGGAUUUUGUAUGUACCAUAUGAAUAAGGAACGGCUAACUCCGUGCCAGCAGCCGCGGUAAUACGGAGGAUCCGAGCGUUAUCCGGAUUUAUUGGGUUUAAAGGGAGCGUAGGUGGAUUGGUAAGUCAGUUGUGAAAGUUUGCGGUUCAACCGUAAAAUUGCAGUUGAAACUGGCAGUCUUGAGUACAGUAGAGGUGAGCGGAAUUCGUGGUGUAGCGGUGAAAUGCUUAGAUAUCACGAAGAACUCCGAUUGCGAAGGCAGUUCACUGGACUGCAACUGACACUGAGGCUCGAAAGUGUGGGUAUCAAACAGGAUUAGAUACCCCAGUAGUC